GACGAACGCUGGCGGCGUGCUUAACACAUGCAAGUCGAACGGAAAGGCCCUGCUUUUGUGGGGUGCUCGAGUGGCGAACGGGUGAGUAACACGUGAGUAACCUGCCCUUGACUUUGGGAUAACUUCAGGAAACUGGGGCUAAUACCGGAUAGGAGCUCCUGCUGCAUGGUGGGCGUUGGAAAGUUUCGGCGGUUGGGGAUGGACUCGCGGCUUAUCAGCUUGUUGGUGGGGUAGUGGCUUACCAAGGCUUUGACGGGUAGCCGGCCUGAGAGGGUGACCGGCCACAUUGGGACUGCGAUACGGCCCAGACUGCUACGGGAGGCAGCAGUGGGGAAUAUUGCACAAUGGGCGGAAGCCUGAUGCAGCAACGCCGCGUUCGGGAUGACGGCCUUCGGGUUGUAAACCGCUUUCGCCUGUGACGAAGCGUGAGUGACGGUAAUGGGUAAAGAAGCACCGGCUAACUACGUG
rnacentral:rRNA from 1 species